rnacentral:misc_RNA from 1 species
AUUUUUAACUUCCGGUGGGACUGAAAGCAACCUGAUGGCCGUAAAGGCCUACCUGAACCGCGCCAAGAAAAUGUACCCUACCAUAAAAAAACCAGAAAUCGUUAGUCUCAUUUCACAAUAGAUAUAGUGCGAUUUUUUUACUGUGUAUAUUAGCGGUGUCUGAUGCAGCCUGCUCUUACUGUAGGUCGCACCUAUCACGAUACACCCGACCAUAGACAAGGCGGCAGACUACUUUGGUCUGACUGUAAUUCACACGCCAGUGGACGAGGGGUUCCGAGCGGACGUUGAGGCUAUAAAAAAGGCCAUCACCCCGAACACUAUCCUACUGUGCGCCUCUGCCCCUCAGUUCUGUCACGGCAUUAUCGAUCCUAUCGAGGAAAUUUCUCACCUCGCCCUGAAGGUCGGACUUCCCCUACACGUGGACGGGUGCUUCGGGGGAUACAUGUUGCCAUGGGUUGAGAAGCUGGGGUAUGAUAUUCCGUCUUUUGACUUCCGAAAUCCCGGUGUGACCUCAAUGUCAGCUGAUGUACAUAAAUAUGGAUACGGGGUCAAGGGCUCUAGUGUAAUUCUAUACAAGAACAACGACUACCGGCGUCACCAGGUGUACACUUACGCCAGGUGGCCCGGGGGCCUGUAUGGCUCACCUAGCAUGGCCGGAACGAGACCAGGUGGUAACAUCGCGGCCUCUUGGGUGGCUAUAAGAGCUCUGGGUGAGGACGGGUACAUGAAGCGGGCCAAGGAACUAAUGGACGCCACGGAUCGACUCAAGGAGGGUGUCCGUCAAAUCGAGGGGCUGAAGAUUCUGGGCACGCCUCACAUGACGUGCUUCGCCAUCGGUGCGGCGGAUCCAGAGGUUGACAUACAAGCUGUGGCGGACGUCAUGGACGGGAAAGGAUGGAAGAUGGAACGAAAUCAGACACCGAACUCUCUGCACCUGUCCAUCCUACCGUCACAUAUACCCGUGGUAGAUGACCUCCUGACCGACCUCAAGGCCGCCACAGAGAGGGUCAAGGGGGACGUAACUCUCUCAAAGAAUGGGACAGCCGGAGUGUACGGAAUGAUUGCCACAAUUCCGGAUAAGUCCAUCGUCGACGAUUUCCUAGUAGAAUUUUUCUGCCAGGUGUACUCCUAGCUGAUUGGCCGGACCGGAAGAGAACAUUUUCUGUUCCGGAAGUGUGAUCUCUAAUGUUGACUAUUUUUACAGAAAUACUCCAAAUGAUAGUUUGUUUAAUAUGGAUUAUUAAAUUUUCAAAACAU